AGCGGCGAACGGGUGAGUAACACGUGGGUGACCUGCCCUCAGCUCUGGGAUAAGCCUGGGAAACUGGGUCUAAUACUGGAUAUGACCUCAUGACGCAUGUUGUGGGGUGGAAAGCCUUGUGCGGCUGGGGAUGGGCCCGCGGCCUAUCAGCUUGUUGGGGGGGUGAUGGCCUACCAAGGCGACGACGGGUACCCGGCCUGAGAGGGCGACCGGCCACACUGGGACUGAGACCCGGCCCACACUCCUACGGGAGGCAGCGGUGGGUAAUCUUGCGCAAUGGGCGAAAGCCUGACCCACCCACCCCGCGUGAGGGAUGACGGCCUUCGGGUUGCAACCCUCUUUCACCUCCAACGAAGCGUAAGUGACGGUAGGGGAAAAACAAGCACCGGCCAAUUACGUGCCACCGGCCGCGGUAUUACGUAGGGUGCAUGCGUUAUCCAAAAUUAUUGGGAGUAAAGAGCUCGUAGGCGGUCUGUCGCGUCGGUUGAGAAAACUCGGGGCUCCAACUCCGAGCUUGCAGUCGAUACGGGCAGGCUAGAGUUCGGCAGGGGAGACUGGAAAUUCCUGGUGUAGCGGUGAAAUGCGCAGAUAUCAGGAGGAACACCGGUGGCGAAGGCGGGUCUCUGGGCCGAUACUGACGCUGAGGAGCGAAAGCGUGGGGAGCGAACAGGAUUAGAUACCCUGGUAGUCCACGCCGUAAACGUUGGGCGCUAGGUGUGGGAUCCCUUCCACGGGUUCCGUGCCGCAGCUAACGCAUUAAGCGCCCCGCCUGGGGAGUACGGCCGCAAGGCUAAAACUCAAAGGAAUUGACGGGGGCCCGCACAAGCGGCGGAGCAUGUGGAUUAAUUCGAUGCAACGCGAAGAACCUUACCUGGGUUUGACAUACACUGGAAAGCCGUGGAGACAUGGCCUCCGCAAGGCCGGUGUACAGGUGGUGCAUGGCUGUCGUCAGCUCGUGUCGUGAGAUGUUGGGUUAAGUCCCGCAACGAGCGCAACCCUUGUCUCAUGUUGCCAGCGGGUUAUGCCGGGGACU
rnacentral:rRNA from 1 species